CUUGGUGAUUCUAGCGGCAGGGGUACACCCGGUCACAUCCCGAACCCGGCAGUUAAGCCCGCCAGCGCUGAUGGUACUUGGGGGGCAGCCCCCUGGGAGAGUAGGUCAUUGNNAGGA
rnacentral:rRNA from 1 species